CCUACGGGAGGCAGCAGUGGGGAAUUUUGGACAAUGGGCGCAAGCCUGAUCCAGCAAUGCCGCGUGCAGGAUGAAGGCCUUCGGGUUGUAAACUGCUUUUGUACGGAACGAAACGGUUCUUUCUAAUAAAGAGAGCUAAUGACGGUACCGUAAGAAUAAGCACCGGCUAACUACGUGCCAGCAGCCGCGGUAAUACGUAGGGUGCGAGCGUUAAUCGGAAUUACUGGGCGUAAAGCGUGCGCAGGCGGUUAUAUAAGACAGAUGUGAAAUCCCCGGGCUCAACCUGGGACCUGCAUUUGUGACUGUAUGGCUAGAGUACGGUAGAGGGGGAUGGAAUUCCGCGUGUAGCAGUGAAAUGCGUAGAUAUGCGGAGGAACACCGAUGGCGAAGGCAAUCCCCUGGACCUGUACUGACGCUCAUGCACGAAAGCGUGGGGAGCAAACAGGAUUAGAUACCCUGGUAGUCCACGCCCUAAACGAUGUCAACUGGUUGUUGGGUCUUCACUGACUCAGUAACGAAGCUAACGCGUGAAGUUGACCGCCUGGGGAGUACGGCCGCAAGGUUGAAACUUAAAUGAAAUUGACGG
rnacentral:rRNA from 1 species